rnacentral:lncRNA from 1 species
UGCCAAGCUGAAAGCGAGGCUAAGGAGGUUCCUGGCAGGGCUUGGCAAGAUGCUGAGGUACAGGCAGUAGCAAGUGUGGAGAGCAGGUCUGUCUCUACCAGCCCCAGUAUCCUCCCUGCAUUUUUAAAGGAAAACCCUGCUCUUGAGCAGGAGAAUGGUCAAGAGCAGCUGCGGGUCAUUUGCCAUGACAAGGGCAGUGGAAGCCGCUUGUUGGAACUCUCUAACAGCAUGGUAGACCCCCAGGAGUCAAGGCAGUGCCCC